rnacentral:rRNA from 1 species
UACGUUCCCGGGCCUUGUACACACCGCCCGUCACACCACGAAAGUCGGUAACACCCGAAGCCAGUGGCCCAACCCUUUGGGAGGGGGCUGUCGAAGGUGGGAUCGGCGAUUGGGGUG